rnacentral:lncRNA from 1 species
CUUCCCCUUUUUCUUUCCCCUUUUCCGCGCAGCUCGCCCGGCGGCCGCCCGGAUGGGCCCGCUGCCCCCCGCCGGCGGCAAGCCGCAGGGUCGGGCUCGAGAACUUUCCCAGGAGGAGAAGUGUUGAGUGAGCAUUCGUGAUUGCACCUCCUCCAAUCAAGCUGUGGGAUAUCUUUGAGGAGAGCCAAGCUUUCAAGUAAAAGUGAAGAGCUGGAGAGAGCUUUGAAGAGGAGGAGGGAGAAAGAAGCACGGCCUUGCUACUUGGAGAGGAUCAGAGAAGACAGGAAAAAGGCAGUAGGAAAAGCAGCCAGAGGAUAGAGAGUAAGAGGGGAAGGGCAGCUCAGGGUGGUCCUGGGCUGAGAGUACCCUGGAGGUUGAUUGACGAAAGGGCAGAGGAUGAAAAGAAACAAGAGACGGGGAGGUUUGAGCUGUCUCAGGUCAAGAUUGUCCCUGGGUCAGCCCUUUGUCUGUAACGGACUGGCUAGUAAAUAUUUUCAGUUUUGUGGGCCAUACAAAUCCCUGCCGUGGUAGCAUGAAAGCAGCUGUAGACAAAAUGUAAACGAAUGAGAGGGGCUGUGUUCCAAUAAAACUUUAUUUAUGGCUGCCGAAACUUAAUUUCCUAUCAUUUUCACGUCACCGAAUAUUCUUGUUUUGAUUUUUUUGUUCCCCAACCAUCUAAAAAACUGUAAAGCUCAUUCUUAGCCCGCAGGCUGUACAAUAAGAGACAUCAGGCUAGGUUUGGCCUGCAGGCGGUAGUGUGCUAACCCCCGCGCUAGCGUAAAGGUGUAGGAGUUUAUGUGUUAAAGCAGAGGCUUAUGCGUCACUGGGGACAUUUUGGGAACGGAAGUAAAAUACAUCUUCUGAUAAUCACAAGUAACUAUUGGUGAAGUCUGUGGACCAAAAGUUUGGACUAUCAGACUGCUAACUCCAAACAGAAAAGAAAAAAAUUUAAGAUGAACAAUGAAGAAUAUCAUAAAGCAGUUACGCAUUAGUGCAAAGGUCAUGUUAUUUUCAUCUUUUUUUUUUUUUAAUUUUUAUUUUUUUCCUUCCCAAAGCCCCCCAGUACAUAGUUGUGUAUUCUUCGUUGUGGGUCCUUCUAGUUGUGGCAUGUGGGACGCUGCCUCAGUGUGGUUUGAUGAGCAGUGCCAUGUCCGCGCCCAGGAUUCGAACCAAUGAAACACUGGGCCGCCUGCAGCGGAGCGCGUGAACUUAACCACUCGGCCAUGGGGCCAGCCCCUGUUCUUUUCAUCUUUUAAAUGUUUAAAAAAAAUUCUAAUAAAAAGUGUAUGAUAAAUUUAAAGCCAGAUAAUAUAUGGUAGCCCAGUUUGGGUUUUAGAUGUUCAGUAAUUCGCCUAUUUUAAUCCUCUUCCCUUAUGGGUGUCUGAGACUGCAUCUUUCUCAGUUCAGUUCAUCCAGAUAAUAACUCUCUGGUUUCCUCUGGGGUGAGAGAGUCUUGGUUGCCUGACUCCACAGGGACCUGGUCACCUAGCUGCUCUGUAUGCAAGAUAGAGACUCCCGAUGCCCCCACAUUUUGACUUCUUGCUCUCUAGUACCGAUGAGUGUCCAGCCUCUUGGUGGGCACUGCUCCACUCUUAAGUCCAUUUCCACUCCUGCAUUUGCUUUUCAUCUUUCAAAAUC